rnacentral:lncRNA from 1 species
AGGAGAGCUGCCUGCUGUAUUAAAAAGAAGGGAUCGCCUAGACAGGCACUAUAGAACCCCAGCCAACUGGGCUCUGUACACAGCUAAAGGAACAGACGACAAGUAAGCAAAGCAAAGCAAGAAAAAGAAGCUCAAAAAAACUAGGGUACAGAACGAUGAUGAUGUCGUUGGAUGCAAGAAGAGAGGUGCUUUGCUCCUGCCAAGAUCCACAACCUCGCCUCAUCUUUGAUUCUCUGAAGUACCACAAAAUUGGCGGACUCUCUGUGCUCAAACACUCUCGCAUUUCUCUCCUUCCAGAUCUCCCAGCAUACUAGUAUAAUGAGUGAACGUAGACCUUUCCUACUUGU